GUGUAGCAGCAUAAAUGGUACGCUGCCACUUUAAGGCCAAUUUCGGCUGCUGCAUAUAAGCAAGCCUUCACCUGUCAUGAGGCUGCUUGCGUCGUGACGUCAACUCCAUCUGCUUCCUUUGUUUGCACCGUUCUGGGUAAGCGUGGGUGUUUUGUUGUCGGCUUUAAUAGUAGUUAUUAAUGCUAACUGGUCUAUCUGCUUAGCCUCCUUUGCUGCACCUUCAAUAUCUGGACCGAUCUGUCUGUUCAUUUGUUUGCUGACAGGAAGGGACUGAGGCUUCUGUGGUGACCCCUGGUGGCGGUUUCUUGUGUGUUUUGUUGGAGCAUCUUUUUCUUUGCUGUUUUUGUAGUGUCCAGGGUGGUCCCUUUUUCGUCACUGGAUGUUGCCCCCUUCCCUCACUACUUGCCCUAUUGAUAAGCCUCGGUUUCCUUUGAAAUUUUAACAUUUUAUUACAAUAAAUCUUGUCAAAUGCAUUCACUGUUUUAACCAUUCAAUUUCAGGUUACUAGAAAUAAAAUAAAAAAUAAAAAAACAAACAUUGAAGUUUAAUUUUUGGUAGAACUUUCUGAAUCUCUUCUCAUUUCCAGCAGAACUUGCCUGUGUCCUUAUUGCAUUGCAUUUUCCUGGAGUUAUUCCAGGUGGUGGUGUUGGUCAUUGUAACCUUUAAUGUUUUAUAUUUGUGUUGAUAAUAAUAAAAUCCACCCCAGGUUGCCACAAGAUGGGUGCAUUCUGGCUACAUUCAAGUUGUAGAAACAUCUUGAUCAGUGAAAACAUCUUAAUUUUAAGCUUCAUGGCAAAUUCUUAGUCAUUACAUUAAUGUAAUUUCUUGGGGGUUUUUUACUUUUAAUUUUGUAAAAACAUAUAACUGGGUAUUUGUUUAAAGAACUUAAAGGAAAGAGAUUAGUGCAUUUUGGAAUAAGUCAUGACAAAGUGGUAAACUUUCCAGAUGAAUUGCGAGUGUAUAAAAUCCAGGUACACAGGCUCCGACUACAAAUAUUUAUGAAGGAAUACAUUGAAAUCAAGUUUAUUUUGCAAUCAGGUAGUAUGAGAAGAAUAAUGAUGGCACUGCAGCAAAAUGAUCAAUGUGAAAUUGCAGAACCAUAAGGCCAUAGUUUGCUGAGGUUUGAAUACUGUUGCAUUGAAGGUGCAACAGUAUUCCCUAUGAGAGAAAAUGACACCUUGUAUGGCAUACUUUGGAUGUUUAUGGCUGUUAAAAAUUCACACACAAAAUAAACUUUAAAACA